AUAUUAUUGCAUGAUAUAAAUUAGACAUGUCAUCUAGUAGCAUCUGCUUCCAUCUGGCCUCACUCUUGUGAGUCUCACUCUUGUGGCCUCACUCUUGUGAGUCUGACCAGAAGGCUUCUCUGUGAUCUACCUGAAGACUACUUGAAACUUACUGUUGCCUUUACUGAUACUUCUGCUAGAUGAAGGCCUGCCUAUAGUGCUUCCUGGAAGGAGAAAUGAGAGGGGGUGCGAAGCUUUUUCAGCAAGCACACAGAAGCAGAUUCUGGGAGAACACACAACAAAAUUCUGAGGCUGAGAGGAAAGCAUGAAGAAAAUCAGGAAGAGGAAAAAGAAUCUCUCUUCCUCCAGCAGACGAGUUUAAUGAAAGCCAUUCGUUCUAAGAAAAUCUCCCAGCCUGCGUACACUUGGAGGG